rnacentral:sRNA from 1 species
AUGAGCGAUAUUUACUCUCAAACCUCUUGGUUUGGUCUUGACUCCAGGUCUAAAUAUCAAAUGACUCUAGAAUAAGUUUUAGAUUCUUCCAAUCCUUCCUCAUCUUCGUAAGACUACCCGCUGAACUUAAGCAUAUCAAUAAGCGGAGGAAAAGAAACCAACAGGGAUUGCCUCAGUAACGGCGAGUGAAGCGGCAAAAGCUCAAAUUUGAAAUCCUCCGGGAAUUGUAAUUUGAAGGUGGUCUCAGUUAGUUCAAACAUUCUUAAGUCCAUUGGAAAAUGGCGCCAUGGAGGGUGAUAGCCCCGUAAAGAAUCCGUUUUGUUCUAUUUUCUUUGACCACCAAAGAGUCGAGUUGUUUGGGAAUGCAGCUCUAAGUGGGUGGUAAAUUCCAUCUAAAGCUAAAUAUUGGCGAGAGACCGAUAGCGAACAAGUACAGUGAUGGAAAGAUGAAAAGCACUUUGAAAAGAGAGUGAAAAAGUACGUGAAAUUGUUGAAAGGGAAGGGCUUGCAAGCAGACACAACCUUUUGGUUGGGCCAGCAUCGGGGCGAGGGGAAGGAAAAAAGAAAAGGAAAUGUAACUCUCGAGUAUUAUAGACCUCUUCCAAAACUUCCAUCUCAUCCCGAGGCCUGCG